CCCGCUGAACGUAAGCAUAGCUAUAAGCGGAGGAAAAGAAACUAACAAGAGUUGCCGUAGUAACUGCGAGUGAAGCGGGAAGAGCUCAAAUUUAAAUUCUGACGUGCGUGUGGUCGUCUGAGUUGUAGUCUGGAGAAGUGUCUUCCGUGUUGGACGGUGUAUAAGUCUCUAGGAACAGGGCGUCAUAGAGGGUGAGAAUCCCGUCUAGGCCCGGCGGUAGGGCAUAUGUAAAACUCCUUCGACGAGUCGAGUUGUUUGGGAAUGCAGCUCAAAAUGGGUGGUAAAUUUCAUCUAAAGCUAAAUAUUGGCCAGAGACCGAUAGCGCACAAGUAGAGUGAUCGAUAGAUGAAAAGCUCUGUGAAAAGAGAGUUAAACAGUAUGUGAAAUUGAUUGAAAGGGAAGCGCUCGCAACCAGUCUGGAGCGCGGCGGUUCCCCUAGCCUUUUGGCUAGGUUACUCCGCCGUGUCCAGGCCAACAUCGGUUCUGAGGGUCGGUCAAAGGCCUUGGGAAUGUAUCUACCUACGGGUAGACUUAUAGACCAGGGUGUCAUGCGGCCUCUCGGGCCCGAGGAACGCGCUUCGGCUCGGAUGUUGGCGUAAUGGUUGUCAGCGACCCGUCGUGAAACACGG
rnacentral:rRNA from 1 species